UACGGAGGGAGCUAGCGUUGUUCGGAAUUACUGGGCGUAAAGCGCACGUAGGCGGCUUUGUAAGUCAGGGGUGAAAUCCUGGAGCUCAACUCCAGAACUGCCUUUGAUACUGAAGAUCUUGAGUUCGGGAGAGGUGAGUGGAACUGCGAGUGUAGAGGUGAAAUUCGUAGAUAUUCGCAAGAACACCAGUGGCGAAGGCGGCUCACUGGCUCGGUACUGACGUUGAGGUGCGAAAGCGUGGGGAGCAAACAGG
rnacentral:rRNA from 1 species